CUGCUGCCUCCCGUAGGAGUCUGGGCCGUGUCUCAGUCCCAGUCUGGAUGAUCAUCCUCUCAAACCAUCUAACGAUCGUCGACUUGGUGAGCCUUUACCUCACCAACUAUCUAAUCGUACGCAGGCCAUUCCUAAAGCGCAUAAAUGCUUUAAUCCGAAGAUCAUAUGCGGUAUUAGCCACUCUUUCGAGUAGUUAUCCCUCACUUUAGGGUAUGUUCCCACGCGUUACUCAGCCGUCCGCCGCUCG
rnacentral:rRNA from 1 species